GUCACCGAACCCGCCCUCUGAAGGGGGCAGGCUUAUGAAAGCCUCCGGUGACUAGCCUGAAGGGAGCAUACCCUUCCUGCCGCCGUAAGGCGGCAGAGGUCCCUGGGGUUUCUCCCGGACCUGAGUUAUCCCGGCGACGCCACCGGCGGAUCUUGCCCGAGUCUGCCGCCCUGGC
rnacentral:sRNA from 17 species